GCCUUCUUAGUUCAGUGGUUUAGAAUUUGUCACUAGUAGUCUCGGUUAAUCACCGGUUGCAAUGACAGGGUCACCCGUUCAAUUCGGGUAGAAGGCA